GAAAAUUUAGUUUAAAUAAAACAUUAGACUGUCAGCCUAAAAAUAUUAAUUGAUAAUUUUCU
rnacentral:tRNA from 1 species